rnacentral:rRNA from 1 species
AGCGUUGUAUGUGGGUUGAAGGUGUACCGUAAGGAGCGCUGGACAGCAUACAAGUGAGAAUGCCGGUAUGAGUAACGAAAAGAUCAGUGAGAAUCUGAUCCGCCGAAAGCCCAAGGUUUCCUGAGGAAGGCUCGUCCGCUCAGGGUAAGUCGGGACCUAAGGCGAGGCCGAAAGGCGUAGUCGAAGGACAACAGUUUGAAAUUACUGUACCACCGUAAUCCGCUAUGAGCGAUGGGGUGACGCAGGAGGGUAGUGACGCGGACUGAUGGAUAUGUCCGUCUAAGCAGUGAGGCUGAUGUGUAGGCAAAUCCGCACAUCGUUAAGGCUGGGCUGUGAUGGGGAGCGAAAAUUGUAGUAGCGAAGGUCAUGAUCUCACACUGCCAAGAAAAGCCUCUAGCCAGGAGAAGGUGCCCGUACCGCAAACCGACACAGGUAGGCGAGGAGAGAAUCCUAAGGUGAUCGAGAGAACUCUCGUUAAGGAACUCGGCAAAAUGACCCCGUAACUUCGGGAGAAGGGGUGCCCCGGUAGUGUGAAUAGCACGAGGGGGCCGCAGUGAAAAGGCCCAAGCGACUGUUUAGCAAAAACACAGGUCUCUGCGAAGCCGCAAGGCGAAGUAUAGGGGCUGACGCCUGCCCGGUGCUGGAAGGUUAAGAGGAGAGGUUAGCUCACGCGAAGCUUUGAAUCGAAGCCCCAGUAAACGGCGGCCGUAACUAUAACGGUCCUAAGGUAGCGAAAUUCCUUGUCGGGUAAGUUCCGAC